GACGAACGCUGGCGGCGUGCCUAAUACAUGCAAGUUGAGCGAUGAAGAUUGGUGCUUGCACCAAUUUGAAGAGCAGCGAACGGGUGAGUAACGCGUGGGGAAUCUGCCUUUGAGCGGGGGACAACAUUUGGGAACGAAUGCUAAUACCGCAUAACAACUUUAAACAUAAGUUUUAAGUUUGAAAGAUGCAAUUGCAUCACUCAAAGAUGAUCCCGCGUUGUAUUAGCUAGUUGGUGAGGUAAAGGCUCACCAAGGCGAUGAUACAUAGCCGACCUGAGAGGGUGAUCGGCCACAUUGGGACUGAGACACGGCCCAAACUCCUACGGGAGGCAGCAGUAGGGAAUCUUCGGCAAUGGACGAAAGUCUGACCGAGCAACGCCGCGUGAGUGAAGAAGGUUUUCGGAUCGUAAAACUCUGUUGGUAGAGAAGAACGUUGGUGAGAGUGGAAAGCUCAUCAAGUGACGGUAACUACCCAGAAAGGGACGGCUAACUACGUG
rnacentral:rRNA from 1 species